GCGCUCCCUCUGGCAGCACAUGUACUAAAAUUGGAAUAAUGCAGAAAAGACUAGCGUGGUUCUUGUGCAAGGAUAACACAUAAAAUAAUGGAUAAUACAAUUUCAAA